UACGUAGGGUGCAAGCGUUAAUCGGAAUUACUGGGCGUAAAGCGUGCGCAGGCGGCUUUGCAAGACAGAUGUGAAAUCCCCGGGCUUAACCUGGGAACUGCAUUUGUGACUGCAUGGCUGGAGUGCGGCAGAGGGGGAUGGAAUUCCGCGUGUAGCAGUGAAAUGCGUAGAUAUGCGGAGGAACACCGAUGGCGAAGGCAAUCCCCUGGGCCUGCACUGACGCUCAUGCACGAAAGCGUGGGGAGCAAACAGGG
rnacentral:rRNA from 1 species